AUGUAUACGCAAAUUUUGCAUUUUCUAUAGUUUGCUAGUUUAGAAUAUGUUUAGUCUGAUUAACAAGUUAAAACAUUUGAGAUUAGUUUUAACAUUUACACCUAGUAGCUCUUUUUUAUAUUGUGUUGCAUUAAUCAGUUCACGUGUACACCUAGUAGCUCUUUUUUAUAUUGUGUUGCAUUAAUCAGUUCACGUGAGAAACUUCGGGCGAUGGAGGAAACAUUGGCCAAGGGGAAGCAAAUUCAAGAAAACUGCUCUGCUGUUAUCAACAAACUCCAGGCGAUU
rnacentral:lncRNA from 1 species